rnacentral:rRNA from 1 species
AUUGAACGCUGGCGGCAUGCCCUACACAUGCAAGUCGAACGGCAGCACGGGUGCUUGCACCUGGUGGCGAGUAGCGAACGGGUGAGUAAUACAUCGGAACGUACCUUAUCGUGGGGGAUAACGCAGCGAAAGCUGUGCUAAUACCGCAUACGCCCUGAGGGGGAAAGCGGGGGAUCGCAAGACCUCGCGCGAUUAGAGCGGCCGAUGCCUGAUUAGCUUGUUGGUGGGGUAAAAGCCCACCAAGGCGACGAUCAGUAGCUGGUCUGAGAGGACGAUCAGCCACACUGGGACUGAGACACGGCCCAGACUCCUACGGGAGGCAGCAGUGGGGAAUUUUGGACAAUGGGGGCAACCCUGAUGCAGCAAUGCCGCGUGAGUGAAGAAGGCCUUCGGGUUGUAAAGCUCUUUUGUCAGGGAAGAAACACCGGCUCUAACACAGUCCGGGAAUGACGGUACCUGAAGAAUAAGCACCGGCUAACUACGUGCCAGCCGCCGCCGUAA